GUGAUCAGCACUGAAGACAGAAGACUCACCAUGGAAUUUAGGCUGAGCUGGGUUUUCCUUGUUGCUGUUUUAAAAGGUGUCCAGUGUGAGGUGCAGUUGGUGGAGUCUGGGGGAGGCUUGGUACAGCCUGGGGGGUCCCUGAGACUCUCCUGUGCAGCCUCUGGAUUCACCUUCAGUAGCUACUACAUGUACUGGAUCCGUCAGGCUCCAGGGAAGGGGCUGGAGUGGGUCUCCGCUAUUAAUACUGGUGGGGGUAGCACAUGGUACACAGACUCCGUGAAGGGCAGAUUCACCAUCUCCAAAGAGAAUGCCAAGAACACACUGUAUCUUCAAAUGAACAGCCUGAGAACUGAGGACACGGCUGUCUAUUACUGUGCGAAAGACACACAGUGA